UACAGAGGGUGCGAGCGUUAAUCGGAAUUACUGGGCGUAAAGCGUGCGUAGACGGUUUCGUAAGUCGGGUGUGAAAUCCCCGGGCUCAACCUGGGAAUUGCAUUCGAAACUGCGAGGCUAGGGUACGGAAGAGGGAAGCGGAAUUUCUGGUGUAGCGGUGAAAUGCGUAGAGAUGUGGAGGAACACCAAUGGCGAAGGCAGCCUUCUGGGCCAACACUGACGCUCAUGCACGAAAGCGUGGGGAGCAAACAGG
rnacentral:rRNA from 1 species